CCCGCACAAGCGGCGGAGCGUGUGGUUAAUUCGAUGCUACACGAAGAACCUUACCAGGGUUUGACAUGCUAGUGGUAGGAACCGAAAGGUGACCGACCCUUCGGGGAGCUAGCACAGGUGCUGCAUGGCUGUCGUCAGCUCGUGUCGUGAGAUGUUCGGUUAAGUCCGCUAACGAGCGCAACCCUUAUCAUUAGUUGCUACGCAAGGGCACUCUAAUGAGACUGCCGGUGACAAACCGGAGGAAGGUGGGGAUGACGUCAAGUCCUCAUGGCCCUUAUGGGUAGGGCUUCACACGUCAUACAAUGGUCGGUACAGAGGGUUGCCAAGCCGCGAGGCGGAGCCAAUCCCACAAAGCCGAUCGUAGUCCGGAUUGUUCUCUGCAACUCGAGAGCAUGAAGUCGGAAUCGCUAGUAAUCGCAGGUCAGCAUACUGCGGUGAAUACGUUCCCGGGUCUU
rnacentral:rRNA from 1 species